rnacentral:snRNA from 1 species
GUACUCGCUUCGGCAGCACAUAUACUAAAAUUAGAAUGAUACAGAGAAGAUUAGCAUGGCCCCUGUGCGCGGAUGACACGCAAAUUCGUGAAGCGUCCCGUAUUUUU